GGACUUAGGAAUGCGGUGAACACAGGGGAUAGAGAAUGACUCAGAACAGAAAUCUCUACGCCAGUGGGGAGCAGGCGUUUCAUCAGCAAGUUGAAUGCAACGUCUGCAGAUUCUUAUUUUCUUCAUUAUGACUGUGUAUGGAGGAGAAUGGGCAUAGUACACAGACAAAAUAUAGAUCACUGGACAACAAACCACAGCCUGGGGAGCUCCAAGACCUCAGUCCGCCACAGUGGCAUCAGUAAAACAAGCAGGCUCUGCCUGAAUGAACUGGGGUUCUAGCCCAGGGAACCCAGAAGGGGCAACAAUGGGCUAUUUGUCCCCACCAUUGCCAGCCCUGAGUAUCUGAUUGAUUGAAGAUGAUGAAGGAGGGUUUGGGGAUGCAAAAUUUUCUAAAUCCACCUGGAAGUCUGGGAACCUCUCCCUCCAGCCACAAAGUCCUGCCCACACUCUGCAGCAACCAAUCUGGAAAACCAGACUCCAACCUCUACAGCAAUAGGCCCCAAGGAUCAGGACUUGAUCAGUGACUCACAGCUUCGUCAUUUUCAGUCCCUUCCAUGUAGAACCAAAUGCUGGGAAAGCCAAAUAUGUUCCCCUAAGUAAUCACUUAGGAUGCCCCUCUUCCUAUCAGCUUGUCUCCAGCCUCCCACAUCACAAGCUCUGGGCAGGACAUGCCUUCCUUUUUUUGCCACCAGAAAGUGUCCCCACUCUUAUGUGUGCCCUGAGUCUCAGCCUGAUGUGAGUGGUGGUGGCAGACUCCCAUGUUCUAUACACAAGUUCUGAGUAAAUAGUGCUUGUUCUCAUUUGGGGGGUGGGUGUCUUUUUUCAUAUCUACAGA